rnacentral:rRNA from 1 species
AUGGGCUGGCUCCGUGAGGGAGACCGGGAUACAGAUUUCUUCCAUGCUCGUGCUACAGCUCAGAAAUGUACUAACAAAGUUCACUGUUUUGUCCGGGAUGAUGGUUCUCUUUGUGAUUCACAAAUGGAGAUUAAAAGUAUGAUGCAUAAAUCUUAUGAGAACCUUUUCACUUCCGAUCCUUGUGAUGAUGCUAACGUUGUUUUUUAUGCUAUUUCGCAUAAAUUUACUAAUGAGAUGAUUGUUGAUUUAUGUAAACCCUACAGUAAUGAAGAGAUCAAGACAACUCUUUUUCACAUGGGGCCUACAAAGGCUCAUGGUCCGGAUGGCCUUCCCGCCCUAUUCUACCACUCAUUGGAAUUUUUUUGGGCGACGGCGGUCAGAAGUUUAUUGGAGGGAAGGUGGAAGGAGAUAAUGAUGAACUCACCUGAUGGCUUGUUGUCUUUGCUGCCAGCGCUGAUGCUGGCGGACGAGGUGACAGCGGCGAUGCCCGCAAAGCGACGUGCAAAGUUGAGUUGCUAA